GCUCAGAGUGCCUGUGUGUGUGUGAGAGAGAAUAUGUGCAUGCGCACGCGUGUCCCUGGGAGAGUGGAGGCUCUUUCACCGAUUAGAGCCAGCGCUGAGAGGCAGCACCGCUCCUUCUCUCACACCAACCGAGUCUCUUGAUCUGUACGUGCAAUCCCAGGCAGCUCUGGAGCACAAAGCCUGGGCCAGCUGCCUGCUGCCGCCGCCUCUGCGCGCCCAGUACUUUUUAUGCACCACACUCACCGCCUCCUUCGCUCUGCGUCCUGAAAAGUGCGACUGGUCUCCGAAGGAAUCUCCAUGGAAAGUAGAGACCAGAAAGGGCUUGCCUCCUGUAGCCCUGCUUGUUUUAUGCCUGUCAGUGAGGAGCUGCUUAGGAGCCUUGGAACCAGCCCUGGACCCACUUUCGGAGCAUCCAUGUUGCAUGGCCAUUAAUCUGACUUGGAAACAGCCAGGCGCAGGAUUCCCAGCCUUGUCAGGCUCACUGGCUGUCCUUGGCAGAUCAUUCCCUGCACGGCUAUAACUUGACAGGAAAGUUAUUUAAAAUUUGGAGGAGAGAAAAAUCCUUUAAUGUGAGCUACAUAAUCUGGUAAUUUAGCAAUGACGUCUAUAAGGAAAAAUGCCAAAUGAGGAAGCAGUCUGAUGGUGUGCACUCAUCUUCCCAAUUAAUAACAGUCAUUGACACAUCAGCUACAGGAUGGGAGAAGGAAAUACUCUGUGCACUGCACUGAGCAGGAAGGAUUCAUCCACUGUUUAACUGAGGUCUAUUUGAAGGAACAGCAAAGAUACCCCAUCUGGGUGGGGUGCUUUUUUUAAAGAGAGGGGGUAAAUUUUAUUUGAGACAAUUAGAGGGUAUAAUUGGCAGCAGAUGAUGCUUUGGGGUUACACUUUGCGUUUCAUUGUUUUUAUUUAGUGCAUAUUUUUAAGCUAAUGAGUCCUAGUAUUCAUCUCAUGAUAUCCUGACUUACCCAUACAACCCUUCCUCCCCACCCCCAACUCAAAAUACAUUUUGAAACAGCAUCAGUGGCUAUGAAAAUGUACAAGUGAAAUUUAAAAGGGAAAUUGAAAGAAGUCUUUCUGAACUCCAAUUUCUUCCAGCGGCCUUUAGCAGACAUCAACUCUGUCUGGGCCAAUAAGUGGAGGAAAAUAAGUCAGAAAUUUUGUUAACAUUUUGCUCUAAAUGUUAAUGGCAAAAUUCAAGGCGGUUUACAAAUCUGCUUAAGAGUGAGUGCAUCAUGGUGUUCCCGUCGUGGUGCAGUGGUUAAGGAAUCCGACUAGGAACCAUGAGGUUGCGGUCCCCGGCCUUGCUCAGUGGGUUAAAGGAUAAAGGAUCUGGCGUUGCCCUGAGCUGUGGUGUAGGUUGCAGACAGGGAUCGGAUCCCACGUUGCGCUGAGGGAGCGGCCCAAGAAAUGGCAAAAAGACAGAAAAAAAAAAAAAAAAAAAAAAAAGAGUGAGUGCAUCCGUAACUGAAGGGACCUAUGCAUUCUUCGCUGCCCCAGGAAGACAGAUGCUUCUAGAGAACAUAUGCCAAAGGCACCCAUAAUGUUUUUAAACAUUGUCAGAGACACCAGACACUAUUGAUGCAGGUUUUGUUCCUUCUCAGAAGAGAGAAUGCCUGUGUGGUUUGAGAGGGCUGUGGAUCAAAAAUAAUGCUGUGUUAUUUCUUCACAGAGCACUUCUGCGGGGAGCAGAGAAAAUGCAGUGACUCAAAACAAGGACCUUACCUGAUGGCAAAAAAACCCCUAAAGGCAGGUUCCUAACCAAGAAAGGGAGCUCACCUGAACGGUACAAGCCGAAGGUGGGCUUCUGGUCAGGAUAAAAAGCCUGCCUGAAUGGUGCAUGCCGAACGUGGGCCUCUGGUCAGGAUGAAAGCUUGCCUGGUUACACAGCUCUCAUUUUGAUAUUGAUGUGGAAGAAUUGGGGGCUUUCCUGGGAAAGCAGUUUCCAUGUUUGCGCUGGAGAAUAUGGAUUGUUUCUCCGGUGACCUAGUCUUUCCUGUUGUUUUAUUUGUUAUUCCGUUUUCCUCAGUCUUUCCUGAUUAUUUACUUAUUAUUCUUAUUUUCCAUUCUUAUUUUCCUGUGGUGAUUUGUGAUUUAACAAAAUUACAACAAUAAUAUAAUAAAAAUUUCACCCUGAAGGACUUUUCCCUAUUC
rnacentral:lncRNA from 1 species